GAAAGUAAGAAAGGGCGUAUGGCGGAUGCCUAGGCUCACGGAGGCGAUGAAGGACGUGAUAAGCUGCGAUAAGCUUCGGGUAGGUGCAAAUAACCCUUGAUCCGGAGAUUUCCGAAUGGGACAACCUAGCCGUCUGAAGGACGGUUACUCUUACCAAUGUAAGAGAGCUAACGCAGGGAACUGAAACAUCUUAGUACCUGCAGGAAGAGAAAAUAAAUGAAUGAUUCCCCCAGUAGUGGCGAGCGAACGGGGAACAGCCCAAACCGUUGACGUCGCAAGGCGCCAGCGGGGUUGUAGGACCGCGACAUUGUAUGCAAAUCGUGAACAGAACACUUUGGAAAAUGUGACCAUAGACGGUGAUAGUCCAGUAUGUGAAGCGAAAUGCAGCAUAGCGGUAUCCUGAGUAACGCGGGACACGAGGAAUCCUGCGCGAAUCUGCCGGGACCAUCCGGUAAGGCUAAAUACUCCCGUGAGACCGAUAGCGAACGAGUACUGUGAAGGAAAGGUGAAAAGAACCCCGAGCAGGGGAGUGAAAUAGUUCCUGAAACCAUACGCCUACAAGCGGUCGGAGCAUCUUACGAUGUGACGGCGUGCCUUUUGCAUAAUGAUCCUACGAGUUACCGUCACUGGCGAGGUUGAGUGUCAUGAGACACGUAGCCGCAGUGAAAGCGAGCCUGAACAGGGCGCAUAGUCAGUGGGGGUAGACGCGAAACCAAGUGAUCUACACUUGGCCAGGAUGAAGUCCCGGUAACACGGGAUGGAGGUCCGCACCAAUAAGCGUUGAAAAGCUUCUGGAUGAGCCGAGUGUAGGAGUGAAAGGCCAAUCAAACUUGGAGAUAGCUCGUACUCCCCGAAAGGCAUUUAGGUGCCGCGUCGGAUGGUCACCGUGAGAGGUAGAGCGACCGAUAGGACAAGAGGGCUUCACCGCCUAUCGAGUCCUGACGAACUCCGAAUGCUCACGGUCUGCAGUCCGGCAGUAAGGGGGCGGGUGCUAAGGUCCGUCCCCGAGAGGAGAAGAAUCCAGACCGCCGUCUAAGGUCCCGGAGUUCUGCCUGAGUUAGUCUAACGAAGUCUGGUCCCUAUGACAGCUAGGAUGUUGGCUUGGAAGCAGCCAUUCAUUCAAAGAGUGCGUAACAGCUCACUAGUCGAGGGUCCGGGCAUGGAUAAUAAUCGGGUAUAAGGCAGACACCGAAGGCGCGGGAUAGCAUUUAAGAAAGUAUCGGUAGGGGAGCAUACUCACAGCGUCGAAUGGUGUACGUAAGUUAUCCUGGAGCGGUGAGUAAAGCAAAUGUAGGAAUAAGUAACGAUAAGGAGGGUUAGAUUCCCUCCCGCUGUAAGACCAAGGUUUCCCGGGCAAUGCCAAUCAGCCCGGGGUCAGUCGGGUCCUAAGUCUAAGCCGAACGGCGAUGGCGAUGGCAGAGACGGUUAAUAUUCCGUCACUGCCGCAUGGGGCGACGUGGAGACGGAGCAGUGAAACCACCGCGGGGCGACGGAAGUCCCCGUUGAAGAGUGUAGGUGUUGAGGAUGGCAGGCAAAUCCACCGUCCGAGCUGAACUUGAUAGUAUGGAGUCUUCUUCGGAAGAAUCCAAUAGUGUGGGUAAUCAUACUCCCGAGAAAAUCCGCUAAGCUUAACCCAUGCGGCACCCGUACCGCAAACGGACACACGUGGUCGGGUAGAACAUACUAAGGCGUUGAGAGAUUCAUGGUUAAGGAACUAGGCAAAUUGACCCUGUAACUUCGGGAUAAAGGGUCCUCGUGAUGAGCGAGGCGCAGAGAAUAGGUCCAGGCAACUGUUUAACAAAAACACAGGGCUGUGCAAACUCGAAAGAUGACGUAUACAGCCUGACACCUGCCCGGUGCCGGAAGGUUAAGAGGAGAUGUCACUCGCAAGAGGAAGCAUUGAAUUGAAGCCCCGGUAAACGGCGGCCGUAACUAUAACGGUCCUAAGGUAGCGAAAUUCCUUGUCGGGUAAGUUCCGACCUGCACGAAUGGUGUAACGAUCUGGGCACUGUCUCAACCGUGAGCUCGGUGAAAUUGUAGUAUCGGUGAAGAUGCCGAUUACCCGCGAUGGGACGAAAAGACCCCGUGAACCUUUACUACAGCUUAGCAUUGACCUUGGUCAUCCGAUGUGUAGGAUAGGCCGGAGGCUUCGAAGCGGGAGCGCCAGCUUUCGUGGAGCCAUCCUUGAAAUACGGCCCUUUGGCUGUCUGAGGUCUAACGCGUGAUACGCGGACACUGCUUGGUGGGUAGUUUGACUGGGGUGGUCGCCUCCAAAAGCGUAACGGAGGCUUCCA
rnacentral:rRNA from 1 species